rnacentral:rRNA from 1 species
UACGAGAAGGCAGCUACACGGCGACGUGAUGCUAAUCCCUAAAGCCUCUCUCAGUUCGGAUUGGAGUCUGCAACCCGACUCCAUGAAGCUGGAUUCGCUAGUAAUCGCGCAUCAGCCACGGCGCGGUGAAUACGUUCCCGGGCCUUGUACACACCGCCCGUCAAGCCAUGAAAGCCGGGGGGUACCUGAAGUGCGUAACCGCAAGGAGCGCCCUAGGGUAAAACUGGUGAUUGGGGCUAAGUCGUAACAAGGUAGC